rnacentral:lncRNA from 1 species
CAGUCCUCAGGUUUAAGGGACUUUUUUAGGAUUACAUCUUAAAUUCCAACAAAUCAGAUUUAGGAGUUACUGAAAGUGAAAUUGAUCCAUCCCUCAUCCAAACUUUGCAAUACUUUCCUGUUCUGACAUCAUUUAGAUAGUUAGCUGUAUUAUCAGAUUAGAAACCAUUGUACCAGGCUGCUGAAAGGAAAAGGAGGCAAAAAGCUAAACAUGGGAUGAAUUCUGAACCUUUUAACCUGGCUGAAGUACGUUGGUCCCUGUUAUGCAAAUACCUUCAAUCCUCUGCUAAGUUCAGUGGAAAUAAUUUUCUUGAAUGACAGGUUUAUUCAGCAAGGAUUCAGUUGGUGAUUAAUCCCCCUUUGAUCUAGGGUAUUUCACUUAACUACCAGUUACCUCGUUCUGACAAAGUGCAACUGAGAUUAGGGAGAUCACUAGAACACUACCAGGGUGUGCGUUUAUUCUCUAUAACCUUUUAAAGCAAGGGCCAAGAAUGCAAUUUAUUUUCAGUAUUUGAAGAUGUAAAGUCCUGUCUGCUAAGUUAGAAAGUCAAUUGAAUACCAAAUGAAGUUUAUUUCUUACGUAAUAGAACAAACAUUUCUUUUUGCUUUACCUAACAAUGAUAUUAGGAAGCAUAGGCUUUGAAGAAAGAAGAAACAAAGAAUACAUUCCAAGUAUAGCUUUUUAUUUUGUUUCAUGUAUUAAGAGUGUAUACUUACUGGCCCUGAGAUAACUUAAAAAUCAAAGGAGUGGCUACAACUGCAGUUAGGAAAAUGCUUCUUUUUCCUUAAACUGCAUAGUUUCUCACCCCUCCCAUCACCUCCACCGCCACUAGAAAAUGUCAUGGUAUGUGGUGAAGAAAUCCAGUUGGGGAAAACGUUGUAAUACAUAGAUCCAUCUUAAGACUGCUGAUUUGAAAGCUAUCCUUAUUAAAUUUUUCUUCUUUUAGGAGAGUUUGUUAUAUUCCCAUUUAAAAAAUUGCAUUCAUUUUCAGAAUGAUUUUUUCAAAAAGAAAGGUAAAUAAUAUUGCCAAAAUACUAUAUAUUAAUUAUUUUAAAUGUUUUCUGCCUUUUUCUCAUUUUUCUGGAC